rnacentral:lncRNA from 1 species
UGGACACAUGGGUAGCCUCAUCACACACAAAGCAAGUUCUAUGGUUUGACUCAAUAGAAGGAGGUAAGACUGAGAUAAGAUAGCCAUCCAAAGGUACAAAACCAGAAGACCCACUACUUAAAAUAUACAAGGCUGCCUGCACUAGUCUACUAUGAUAUCCAUGAAAGCCUCUAGAAUCUAUACCCCUGGAAAUAUGACCUAUAAACCUGCCCCAAUGGCCCACCUUCUUCGUGUCUCCCCAAGAUGCUCAAAGAAUAUACUCAAUCAUUUUAGCAUAAUCCAAAAUCCUCUCAAACAAUGACCCAUACACUUUUAUUUGAGUCUUAGAAACCUGAAGAAAAAUAUCCAAACGCUUGAUGACCUUUUAGAUCUUUUCAAACUUAGUGGAAAUACUAGUAUAAGAAUAUCUAGAAAAGGCAUUAAAAUAUGCCUCAUACUCUAAAAAAGUCAUGGAUCCUUGCUAUAAGUGAUCAAACUCAUCUCUUAUUUGACCCCUCAAAUUGAUGGGUACAAACUUGUCCAAAAAGGCCUCUAUAAAUUAAUCCCAAGCCAUCUCUAGCGAACUAAGAAGUCAACAACCAACAAGCAACAUCCACCAAGCUCUGGAUAUAUCUCUCAACUAGUAAGUAGUAUAACCAACCCUAUGUGACUCAAGCAAACCAAGAUUAGUUAACUAAUAUUAUGCAGUUUCUCAUGAAAAUUCAUCAAGAACUCACAAGCAUCCUGUCCUACAACACCAUUGAACCGAUGAGGACCUAAAUUAGUGAAUCUCUUAAACCUCUUUUGAUCCCCAAAAGAAAUAACUGUAUUCAUAAUAAUAGGAGGCAUAGUAAAUUUGGCUGGCUGAGAACCUAUCUGAAGAGGAAUCAUAGAAAAAGGCUGGACUCCAAAUCUCAAAAUACCACACUUAGAUAUAGGAACUGAAGAAGAAAAUGCACUCAGAGUCUGUGAAGUACCAUUAGAAGAUGUCAGUACAAAAGGACCUAUACUCAUAAUCAGAGGAAAACCAUAAUCAGGCUCUAGCAUAGACGGAGGUACAACACUCAGAAUUGGAGGAACACUAGGCAUACUCAUAAGAGCACCUUAUAAGUGGGUUAAUAAUCGAACUACCAACCACUAUAAGACUGGGAAGAAGAACUCUAUAGGACCAGAGUAGGCCCCAUAACUCUAAUAUGCUCAACCUAAGGUUUGGGGAAGAGUAACCAAAUGCUAUCUCUAGAUGGGGCAUAUCCUGAUGUAUAUCCUCUAUGUCAAGCCCAACUACGACUCAUAACUCACCCACUAAACUAAAAUUUACCCCUAGAUAAUGUAAUACCCUGGGAAAUUUUUCACUAAAAUUUUAUGCGUAAACAUGUCGAGUUCUAUCUUCUAGAAUAAAUUAUAAAUUUUUCAUGCAGAAUGUCUUAGAUUAUGACCCACCAUUACAUAGAGUAUCUAAUAAUCUUUCCAACAAUAUUUGGAUCAUCUAAAAUGGACACCCGAGCAACCAGUUAUGAACAUUUCGAUCAAACCAUGAAUAGUAGUGAACAAUAAAUCAUGCAGGAAAACUACUGAGGCCUAGUGUAUUUUUUUACCAAAUUUAAAUGAUCAUAACUCCUUGUACAUAAUGAUCUAGGUGAUCUACUAUAUAUCAACGAAAAUCUCUGCGAGUCCUCUUUCCAAUGAAAUUGGUUUCAUCCAAUUUAGAUAUCAUAGUAAAAUGCUAUGGUUGAUCUACUUCAGACUAUCAAACCAAUUCACCAAAGGAGAGAUUCGAGAAUUAUUUGAUUUUUAGGGGCGUUUUGGUCAUUUCUCCUCACCGAAAAUCCAUCCAAACCCUAUAUUAAAGCCUAUUAGAAGCAUUAUAUGUUAUAUUUCAUCAAAUUAAUAAAAUAACAUAGAUGCAGAUCUAAAACAAAUAGGAACGAUACCUGUGAUGAUAGAAUUAGAGACCUUUGCCUUUGUCUUCGCUUGUAAAGCAUCGCACUAUCCACAUCCACUAUCUAGCUAAGUAGCACUAUAACCACCACCAAGGGUACCAAUACUUCUACCUUUCAUACCUCUAGUAGAACCUCUACUUCUCACAGCUGAUAUAGGAGAAAAUCUAAAAUUAUGAUGGGAUGAUCCUUGGACACAUGGGUAGCCUCAUCACACACAAAGCAAGUUCUAUGGUUUGACUCAAUAGAAGGAGGUAAGACUGAGAUAAGAUAGCCAUCCAAAGGUACAAAACCAGAAGACCCACUACUUAAAAUAUACAAGGCUGCCUGCACUAGUCUACUAUGAUAUCCAUGAAAGCCUCUAGAAUCUAUACCCCUGGAAAUAUGACCUAUAAACCUGCCCCAAUGGCCCACCUUCUUCGUGUCUCCCCAAGAUGCUCAAAGAAUAUACUCAAUCAUUUUAGCAUAAUCCAAAAUCCUCUCAAACAAUGACCCAUACACUUUUAUUUGAGUCUUAGAAACCUGAAGAAAAAUAUCCAAACGCUUGAUGACCUUUUAGAUCUUUUCAAACUUAGUGGAAAUACUAGUAUAAG